rnacentral:lncRNA from 1 species
AUAGAAGCAGAGACAUAGGCAAAGGGAGAAGCAGGUUCCCCAUGGGGAGCCCAAUGUAGGACUUGAUCCCAGGACCCAGGGAUCACACCCUGAGCCGAAGGCAGAUGCUCAACCACUGAGCCACCCAGGUGUCCCAAAAACUGGAUAUAUUUUGGAGAAACACUGUAGGCCAUUGCAGGCUUAACCAGUUAGUAGCCCCAACUGCAGUUGCUUUGCCAGAUGUAGUAUUACCACUAAGCAAACUAAUAAGUUUUCAUGUGUAGGGUGUGUAACCACUGAUUUGGAGAACGUAUUCUUUUUGUUCCAAUUAGAAAAGAGGACCAAGAACAGUUGCAACUUCUGGUUUCGGCUCCAAUAUUCAUAGUGCUGUCAUUACAACAAGCAAGAGGAAUCCUUAAAUACAUUGCUUAAAUAGCUAGAAAAAGAGAAAAGGAGCCUUGAAAAUUAAGUGAAAGACUGUGCACUGAGAUUGGAACAAGAUUCAAAGAUCUCUGACUCAUACCAAGUUUCUAAAAGGCAACAGAUGGAUCAACUGCCUAGAGUGAAAGAGAAUCUAGUGAAAAUGAGAAGAUAUAAUUCAGUUAAUCAGAAGACAAUGAAUGCCAAGAGAGGACCAGUAAAAAAGAUUACAAGAUCAAACCAUCUUCCAAAACUCAAUCCGUAAUUGUAGAACUGGGUGGAUUUCUAUAUCUUCCUUUUUUUCAUCUGUAAUAUUCAACUGGUGAAGUUAAUGUUUAACACAUUUUUCAGGGAAUGAAAUAGACAAGAAAGAACUAUCAAACUUCUGUUUAGCUCCUCUUCCAGAAGUUUGUUCCUUUGUCUGUAUGAAAAUAAUUUUCUCAAGUGAUAGAUCCUAAAACAUCUAAUAGCAUUGCUUAUGAUUUUAGAAAUAUCCUAGAAAGCCUGAAGGUUGGCAUUAUUACACUUAACAUUUAAUAAUAUAUCCAUAACAUAUGCUGAUAGUAACAUUGCUAUUAUAUUUGGUUUCUAGUUGACUAUCAGCUAAAAAUAUGAAUUCAUCAAAACAUUUGGCUAUUAUAGGCUCUAUCCUGUUUGGGUCUUUUAAACUUAUGGUUUAAACAAAGCUACAAAUCAGAUGGAUUUUAUUUUUUUUUAAGAUUUUUUAUUUUAUUUAUUCAUAGAGACACA